CCUACGGGGGGCAGCAGUGAGGAAUAUUGGUCAAUGGCCGGAAGGCUGAACCAGCGAAGCCGCGUGAAGGACGAAGGUGCCAAGCAUUGUAAACUUCUUUUGUCAAGGGACAAAAUCAGGCUCGAGAGCCUGACCGAGGGUACUUGAAGAAAACGCAUCGGCAAACUCCGUGCCAGCAGCCGCGGAAAUACGGAGGAUGAGAUCGUUAUCCGGAUUUAUUGGGUUUAAAGGGUGUGUAGGCGGACUGUUAAGUCAGCGGUAAAAGCCCGGGGCUCAACCCCGGCGAGCCGUUGAAACUGGUUGUCUUGAGAUGUCGAGAGGGAUGCGGAAUGCGCGGUGUAGCGGUGAAAUGCUUAGAUAUUGCGCAGAACUCCGAUUGCGAAGGCAGCAUACCGGCGGCGAUCUGACGCUGAGGCACGAAGGCGUGGGUAUCGAACAGGAUUAGAUACCCUGGUAGUC
rnacentral:rRNA from 1 species